rnacentral:rRNA from 1 species
CCUACGGGGGUCAGCAGUGGGGAAUAUUGGGCAAUGGGCGCAAGCCUGACCCAGCAACGCCGCGUGAAGGAAGAAGGCUCUCGGGUUGUAAACUUCUUUUAUCAGGGACGAAGCAAGUGACGGUACCUGCUGAAUAAGCCACGGCUAACUACGUGCCAGCAGCCGCGGUAAGACGUAGGUGGCAAGCGUUAUCCGGAUUUACUGGGUGUAAAGGGCGCGUAGGCGGGCAAGCAAGUCAGAUGUGAAAACCAUGGGCUCAACCUGUGGCCUGCAUUUGACACUGUUUUUCUUGAGUACUGGAGAGGCAGACGGAAUUCGUAGUGUAGCGGUGAAAUGCGUAGAUAUUAGGAAGAACCCCAGUGGCGAAGGCAGUCUACUGAACAGCAACUGACGCUGAGGCGCGAAAGCGUGGGGAGCAAACAGGAUUAGAUACCCCAGUAGUC